rnacentral:misc_RNA from 1 species
ACCCGAAGCCGGUGGCGUAACCCUUUUAGGGAGCGAGCCGUCUAAGGUGGGACAAAUGAUUAGGGUGAAGUCGUAACAAGGUAGCCGUAGGAGAACCUGCGGCUGGAUCACCUCCUUUCUAAGGAAACAGACUGAAAGUCUGACGGAAACCUGCACACACGAAACUUUGUUUAGUUUUGAGGGGAUCACCCUCAAGCACCCUAACGGGUGCGACUUUGUUCUUUGAAAACUGGAUAUCAUUGUAUUAAUUGUUUUAAAUUGCCGAGAACACAGCGUAUUUGUAUGAGUUUCUGAAAAAGAAAUUCGCAUCGCAUAACCGCUGACGCAAGUCAGUACAGGUUAAGUUACAAAGGGCGCACGGUGGAUGCCUUGGCACUAGGAGCCGAUGAAGGACGGAACUAAUACCGAUAUGCUUCGGGGAGCUAUAAGUAAGCUUUGAUCCGGAGAUUUCCGAAUGGGGGAACCCAGUACACAUCAGUGUAUUGCUUGUCAGUGAAUACAUAGCUGGCCGGCGGCAGACGCGGGGAACUGAAACAUCUCAGUACCCGCAGGAAGAAAAAGAAAAA